GACGAAGGGGGCUAGCGUUGUUCGGAAUUACUGGGCGUAAAGGGCGCGUAGGCGGCGCAUUUAGUCAGGCGUGAAAGCCCCGGGCUUAACCUGGGAACUGCGCUUGUUACUGGCAGACUGGAGUGUGGCAGAGGGGGGGUGGAAUUCCAGGUGUAGCAGUGAAAUGCGUAGAUAUCGGUAGGAACACCAGUGGCGAAGGCGGUCUCCUGGAGCAGACUUGACGCUGAGGCGCGAAAGCUGGGGGGAGCGAACGGG
rnacentral:rRNA from 1 species